rfam:Haemonchus contortus, ISE/inbred ISE, WGS project CAVP01000000 data, contig: Hcontortus_32367
AAGAUGUUAACUUAAAUAAAAGUGUUAGAUUUUUAAUCUAAAAAUGUGUUUUCACAUCUUA